UCAUGGAUCAUCAUAGAAUGCUGUGGGUGGUAGAAAUGGGCAACUGGACUUGCUUGAAGAUUCUUGAAAACGUUUCACCUCUCGUCCAAAAGGCUUCCUCAGUUCUGUCUGACUAAUAGGGAGUAUCAGAUAUUUAUCCUCUCCUGGAUCAGAAUCAGAAUUCUGAUGACCAGCUCAUCUAAGGUGUCAUUGAGGCAUCAUGUUGGUGUGCCUAACGGGCAAUCCUUUGAUCACCCUAAUGACUUGCCAUUCACACCCAGCCUCCAGUGACCCACACCAACAUGAUGUGAAAGAAAAGAAGUGGUUGGGAGUCCCUCGGUGCCUGACAUCCACCGCCCUCUAUGGAGACUGCCUCCUCAGACUGCCAUUCACCAGUCUUACGGAGGAAUUCAAGUGUGCCAAGAUAAGACUCCAGGUGACACUGACGGAAUCCAAAGACCUAAUGGUGAGCAAGAAUGCCCCAGCCAUCAUAGCAGGCCGUAAAUGGAGACAAGUGCAAGCAGUUGAGGAGGCAGUGGCAGCCCUCAAGCAUGCAGACAUCGUGGGAUAUGUUCAGCAUGGAAGAGGAGGUCUGGGUUUAACUGCUCAGCGUCCAGCCUGGAGCAAGGCCUCAGCUGCUGAAAGGAGGAGGAUGAUCAUGGAUGAGGUAAAAAACCAGGAGGAAGGCAUCAGGAGGGCCAAGAUGGUGGCACUUGGUAAGCAGGGAAAGUGGACUAAGUGGGACACUCACUACGUUUACAUGCACAUCCAAAUCGAGCUGCUGUCAGUAAUCGAGCUGAAGGUCCCAGCAGGGUGCCAGAGAAAUCCAAUCCUACAUGCACACAGUGAAAUCGGGCUAUUGUGUGAGGUGCAUUGUGCACCCGAGCCACAGGUGGCGCUACAUGCCCCAUCGUGUUGGUACACUUCCGGUUGUCAUCAUGAAGAAGAGCUAUUCAAGAGUGUAAACAAAGUUAUCAGUUCCGUGUUCUCCAUUGCGUGUUUUUCUCCCGUCCAUGAAUUUUAAUAUAUUCAACUCCUUAAGCUGAAUGAGCAUGAACUCUUUCUCCUCAUUGCUCCAGAAGUGCACGUUUCUGCUUGCCUGUGGCAGUGGGGGCGUGGUCAAGCGCCGGUCUAUGACAGGAGGGCGGAGCCAGGGAAGGUGAGUGGCAGAACGACGGUACACCUGACGGUAAUUAACCUGUGUUUGUGUGUCUUCCCAGUAACCGCGCCCUAUUUAAGGAGGCAGAGGGGAGAGCUCAUCCCGGGACUAGAACACAGCACACGCUUCUCUCAAGAAUAAAAGGACCUUGUUUAUGAGGUUCGACAUGAGCCUACGUCACAUCUUUUCAAGGCUCUACUUCUUCACACAUUGCCCAAUGGUGUUUACAUGG